CCCAGACUCCUACGGGAGGCAGCAGUGGGGAAUAUUGGGCAAUGGGCGCAAGCCUGACCCAGCAACGCCGCGUGAAGGAAGAAGGCUUUCGGGUUGUAAACUUCUUUUCUCAGGGACGAAGCAAGUGACGGUACCUGAGGAAUAAGCCACGGCUAACUACGUGCCAGCAGCCGCGGUAAUACGUAGGUGGCAAGCGUUAUCCGGAUUUACUGGGUGUAAAGGGCGUGUAGGCGGGAAAGCAAGUCAGAUGUGAAAACCACGGGCUCAACCUGUGGCCUGCAUUUGAAACUGUUUUUCUUGAGUACUGGAGAGGCAGACGGAAUUCCUCGUGUAGCGGUGAAAUGCGUAGAUAUGAGGAGGAACACCAGUGGCGAAGGCGUCUUACUGGACCGAAACUGACGUUGAGGCUCGAAAGCGUGGGGAGCAAACAGGAUUAGAUACCCCGGUA
rnacentral:rRNA from 1 species